AAAGCAUGUUCCCUUGUUAACAAGAAUCUGGAUAAGAUCUACACCAGCAAAAAAAAUCAAAGAGAAGAUGAAAGAGUGCAGUGUUAAACUGGGAGUCCUGAUGAACUGCAUCUUUCCUGUGAGGAACUACCAUGAACAGGUUACCAGCGACUUGUACACACUGUAAAAAAUGAUUUUGUGGGGUUGUAUAUUUUACUGAUAAAAAAUGAUUAUUUUUUCCACAAAAAAAAUAGGUAAGCAAAGGUAAUCGAUUGCAAGGGGUAGAUCAUACAGGCGCUACCUAUUAAUAUAGAGUAUAAACUUCUAAUGGUGAGAAAUGAGUAAACUACACCCAAUUGAAGUGAUGAAAAUGGAUUAAAUAAUAAUCAGAAAUAUUAGGCAGGAAAUAAUGUAACGCAAUAGGUAGGGUAUAACUACCUAAAAUGACUAAAAUAUAGCCUACUCGAUUCUACGCGCAAUGAUUCAUGGGAGCAUGCUCGUACCGUGCUCAUGAUUCAGCAGAAAACAGCACUCGUGCGUGCAGCGCUCCCAGAAGAAGAGACCGGAGCGAGUCUGCGUCUCGAAGGGAAUUGCGAAUUAACAUUUACAAGGACGCAAACAGUUGAGCAGGAUUUAUUUUGUUUUUUUGUUGUGUGUGUGUCAGUUGACCUGAAUGUCUGGCAGAACAGAGAACCAUUUAAGAGAUAUGAACACAUGUAGCAUCACUCCACAUUCUAAGUUAUUCUGAUUUAUGUGAAUACUGUCUAAACUUGUCUUGGGGGGGGAAGAGUGCUAAAUAUGUACAAGAAUAACCUUUUCUUAAACUUUUAUCUUGGCACUAACUGUUUUUUUUUGGAAGGUUUUUACCUUUGGCACAGCAGAGAGAGAGUGAACUGCUUUUACUCAGGUUAAGCUACACACAAACAGAUUUCUCUUGUCUUUUUUGAACACACACACACAGAGCUUGUGUUGUGUUGUGUCAGUGGCUUAAUCUGAAUAAUUGGUAAAACGCACUGUUGGGUGAGUGCUGCACGUGUUCAUAUUUUUCUUAAAUUGUUCUUAGUUAUUCUCAUUUGUAUGAAUACAUGUGCAAACUUCUCUAAGGGGAAAAACAGUUGUGUGGUGUAUUUUUUUUUCUAUUUUUGUAACAGCUUUUAUUGUUUUAUAUCUACACUGUGCCCUCCACUCUUGACCAUUUCUACAUGCCCAAAUGCAUCGAGUUGCUGCCAUGUGUUUAGCUGACUAGAAAUUUGUGUCAGCGAGCAGUUGUACACAUGUAUCUAAUAAAGUGGCCGGUUUGUGUAUAUAUGUGUGCAUUGUGUUUUACAUUGUUUAAAUACAGUAUAUUGGAUAUGUUGCAUGUUAAGACUUGAGUGACUGAUUAAACAAGUUGACUUUAA